AUCUUUGUUGGGAGUCGCACAUGCGCAGUAGCUAGGUAAGGACUACUAGCCAGUCAGAAGCAGAGGAUGAGGGCUUGCCACGCUACCAGCUAGGCGACCUUAACAUGUUAAAACGUGACACGUGUUCGUCACGGAAGUACAGGCUGGACUACAACAGAGCUGUUUGGAGCAGUUUGUGAA